rnacentral:lncRNA from 1 species
GUCACAGCAUCUCCCACUUGAACUCUGGAGUUCAAAUCUCACUCAGCCUGAAAAGAAACUACUUUUGCUCUGCUCCUGGCCAAUAAGCACUUAAAAGUGGCCAGACUUUCAGAGGGCAGCUGUGUACAUGCUUCUGCCUCCAUUUAUGAAGUUUUCACUUGGUGACUGAUGCUGAAAAAUGGGAGAAGUUUCCUGUGGUAAGACUUGCAAGAAUUACUCAAGGAAUAGGCAACAUGUUACAAACAAGACUCAGGGACCUUUGUCCAUGUGGUUGAUUGAAGAGAACGCCUUGGAAUGACAACACAGAGAAAGCAAAUUCAGUUCAAAAAGACUCUCUGUUUAGGAAUCAAGGCAAAACCAAGGAAAAAUUCACCAAGCUCUAUGAGCUUUGAAGUAUCCAACUUCUCAGCAUUACCCAAGACUUGA